rnacentral:rRNA from 1 species
UAAGUGGAGGAAAAGAAACUAACAAGGAUUCCCCUAGUAACGGCGAGUGAAGCGGGAAGAGCUCAAAUUUAAAAUCUGGCAGGCUACGCUUGUCCGAAUUGUAAUCUCGAGAAGUGUUUUCCGCGUUGGCCUGUGUACAAGUCCCUUGGAACAGGGCGUCAUAGAGGGUGAGAAUCCCGUCCUUGACACAGACACCCAAUGCUUUGUGAUACACUCUCAAUGAGUCGAGUUGUUUGGGAAUGCAGCUCAAAAUGGGUGGUAAAUUCCAUCUAAAGCUAAAUACUGGCGAGAGACCGAUAGCGAACAAGUACCGUGAGGGAAAGAUGAAAAGCACUUUGGAAAGAGAGUCAAACAGUACGUGAAAUUGUUGAAAGGGAAACGAUUGAAGUCAGUCGUGCCUGCCUAGUCUCAGCCUUUUGGUGUACUACUAGGUCGGCAGGUCAGCAUCAGUUUGGGAGGAUUAACAAGGGAGUUAGGAAUGUGGCAACCUCGGUUGUGUUAUAGCCUAGCUUCGCAUUGAUCUUGCUGGACUGAGGAACGCAGUGCGCCCGCAAGGGUUGGUCUUCGGACACAUUCGCACUUAGGAUGCUGACAUAAUGGCUUUAAACGACCCGUCUUGAAACA